rnacentral:rRNA from 1 species
AUUGAACGCUGGCGGCAGGCCUAACACAUGCAAGUCGAGCGGAGCGGCGGACGGGUGCGUAAUGCCUAGGCAUCUGCCUGGUAGUGGGGAUAACGUCCGGAAACGGGCGCUAAUACCGCAUACUAUCAGAUGAGCCUAGGACGGAUUAGCUAGUGGGUGGGGUAAAGGCCUACCAAGGCCACGAUCCGUAACUGGUCUGAGCGGAUGAUCAGUCACACUGGAACGGGGACACGGUCCAGACUCCUACGGGAGGCGGAAGUGGGAAACAUUGGAAAAUGGGGGAAAGCCUGAGCCAGACAGGCCGGGGGUGGGAAGAAGGUCUUCGGAUUGUAAAGCACGUUAAGUUGGGAGACGGUACCAACAGAAUAAGCACCGGCUAACUUCGUGCCAGCAGCCGCGGUAAUAC